rnacentral:rRNA from 1 species
UAUACGACCGUACCGCAAACCGACACUGGUGCGCGAGAUGAGUAUUCUAAGGCGCUUGAGAGAACUCAGGAGAAGGAACUCGGCAAAUUGACACCGUAACUUCGGAAGAAGGUGUGCCCUAUUAGUGUGUAGUGAACAACGAAGCAUGAAUGGGUUGCAAAAAAUCGGUGGCUGCGACUGUUUAUUAAAAACACAGCACUCUGCAAACACGAAAGUGGACGUAUAGGGUGUGACGCCUGCCCGGCGCUGGAAGAUUAAAUGAUGGGGUGCAAGCUCUUGAUUGAAGUCCCAGUAAACGGCGGCCGUAACGAUAACGGUCCUAAGGUAGCGAAAUUCCUUGUCGGGUAAGUUCCGACCUGCACGAAUGGCGUAACGAUGGCCACACUGUCUCCUCCUGAGACUCAGCGAAGUUGAAAUGUUUGUGAUGAUGCAAUCUCCCCGCGGAAAGACGGAAAGACCCCAUGAACCUUUACUGUAGCUUUGUAUUGGACUUUGAACAGAUCUGUGUAGGAUAGGUGGGAGGCUUUGAAGCAGGGUCGCUAGAUCUUGUGGAGCCAACGUUGAAAUACCACCCUGGUGUGUUUGAGGUUCUAACCUAGGUCCAUUAUCUGGAUCGGGGACAGUGCAUGGUAGGCAGUUUGACUGGGGCGGUCUCCUCCCAAAGCGUAACGGAGGAGUUCGAAGGUACGCUAGUUACGGUCGGACAUCGUGACGAUAGUGCAAUGGCAUAAGCGUGCUUAACUGCGAGACUGACAAGUCGAGCAGAUGCGAAAGCAGGACAUAGUGAUCCGGUGGUUCUGUAUGGAAGGGCCAUCGCUCAACGGAUAAAAGGUACUCUGGGGAUAACAGGCUGAUACCGCCCAAGAGUUCACAUCGACGGCGGUGUUUGGCACCUCGAUGUCGGCUCAUCUCAUCCUGGGGCUGUAGCCGGUCCCAAGGGUAUGGCUGUUCGCCAUUUAAAGAGGUACGUGAGCUGGGUUUAAAACGUCGUGAGACAGUUUGGUCCCUAUCUUCCGUGGGCGCUGCAGAUUUGAGGAAGCCUGCUCCUAGUACGAGAGGACCGGAGUGGACACACCUCUGGUGUAUCGGUUGUCACGCCAGUGGCAUUGCCGAGUAGCUAAGUGUGGAAGAGAUAACCGCUGAAAGCAUCUAAGCGGGAAACUCGUUUCAAGAUGAGAUCUGCCGGGGCCUUGAGCCCCCUAAAGAGUCGUUCAAGACCAGGACGUUGAUAGGUCAGGUGUGGAAGCG